AUGGCGAGGCGGUUUCGCCGCGCCGAGCUCGGUGAACCAGAUUCUCCCGACCCUGAUGCGCCUGUGGAAGAUCAGGAGGCUCAUUCCACGGGAUCCCCCAAAAGCACAAAAGCAAAUGAUGGGGCGAACGAGGCAGGCCCGUCUUCUUCGAGGAAGCGUAAAAGGUGGGAUGAUGAUUCGGGGUCCGAAGAUGAUGAUUCGGGGGGACCCGGGGAAUCUCCAGAUCCAGUCUCAGCGAACACAUACCACUAUCUAUAUAUAGGUUUUUCUUUUUAG
rnacentral:rRNA from 1 species